AUUGAACGCUGGCGGCAGGCCUAACACAUGCAAGUCGAGCGGGGUUUUCGGACCUAGCGGCGGACGGGUGAGUAAUGCGUAGGAAGCUACCCGAUAGAGGGGGAUACCAGUUGGAAACGACUGUUAAUACCGCAUAAUGUCUACGGACCAAAGUGUGGGACCUUCGGGCCACAUGCUAUCGGAUGCGCCUACGUGGGAUUAGCUAGUUGGUGGGGUAAUGGCUCACCAAGGCGACGAUCCCUAGCUGGUUUGAGAGGAUGAUCAGCCACACUGGAACUGAGACACGAUCCAGACUCCUACGGGAGGCAGUAGUGGGGAAUAUUGGACAAUGGGCGCAAGCCUGAUCCAGCCAUGCCGCGUGUGUGAAGAAGGCCUUCGGGUUGUAAAGCACUUUCAGUAGGGAGGAAGGGUGUUGUGUUAAUAGCACAGCAUUUUGACGUUACCUACAGAAGAAGCACCGGCUAACUCUGUGCCAGCAGCCGCCGUAAAAC
rnacentral:rRNA from 1 species